rnacentral:rRNA from 1 species
UACGUAGGGGCAAGCGUUGUCCGGAAUCAUUGGGCGUAAAGCGCGCGUAGGCGGCCAGAUAAGUCCGGUGUGAAAGUCACAGGCUCAACCUGUGAAUGCCGCUGGAAACUGUCUGGCUUGAGUCCGGAAGGGCGAGUGGAAUUCCUGGUGUAGCGGUGAAAUGCGUAGAUAUCAGGAGGAACACCUGCGGUGUAGACGGCUUACUGGACCAUAACUGACGCUGAGGCACGAAAGCGUGGGUAGCAAACAGG